UACGGGGGGGGCAAGCGUUGUUCGGAAUUACUGGGCGUAAAGGGCUCGUAGGUGGCCAACUAAGUCAGACGUGAAAUCCCUCGGCUUAACCGGGGAACUGCGUCUGAUACUGGAUGGCUUGAGUUUGGGAGAGGAAUGCGGAAUUCCAGGUGUAGCGGUGAAAUGCGCAGAUAUCAGGAGGAACACCGAUGGCGAAGGCAGGUCUCUGGGCCACUACUGACGCUGAGAAGCGAAAGCAUGGGGAGCGAACAGG
rnacentral:rRNA from 1 species